CCUACGGGCGGCAGAAGUGGGGAAUAUUGGACAAUGGGCGAAAGCCUGAUCCAGCCAUGCCGCGUGUGUGAAGAAGGCCUUCGGGUUGUAAAGCACUUUCAGUGGGGAAGAAAGCCUUGGGGCUAAUACCCUCGAGGAAGGACAUCACCCACAGAAGAAGCACCGGCUAACUCCGUGCCAGCAGCCGCGGUAAUACGGAGGGUGCGAGCGUUAAUCGGAAUUACUGGGCGUAAAGCGCGCGUAGGCGGUCUGAUAAGCCGGUUGUGAAAGCCCCGGGCUCAACCUGGGAACGGCAUCCGGAAACUGUCAGGCUAGAGUGCUGAAGAGGGGGGGAGAAUGCCCGGUGUAGAGGGGAAAUGCGUAGAGAUUCGGAGGAAUACCAGUGGAGAAGGCGGCUUACGGGACUAAUACUGACGCUGAGGUGCGAAAGCGUGGGUAGCAAACAGGAUUAGAUACCCCGGUAGUC
rnacentral:rRNA from 1 species